UCAUCCUCAACUGAAGAUAGUGGGAUGUCUGUUACAAGUGGUGCAACUGCACCAGCCCCGCCCAAUCUACUCAUGCUUAAAACCUUUACUUGGAGCCUUAGGAACUUCACAUAAUCCACAAUUUCAUCAAGCAUGGCAGCUCUAUCCGUCUUGUUUACACUAGGAACCAACUCCUGCAAUGCCCUGAUUCUUUCGGCUAUUCUUUCUCUACGCAACCGCUCAGCAAUGCUGUGUGGAUC
rnacentral:misc_RNA from 1 species